GCUUCCUCUUGUUGAAGUGGUGNGAGUACUCGGCUACGAACCGAGCGGUCGGAGGUUCGAAUCCUCCCGGAUGCACCA
rnacentral:tRNA from 1 species